rnacentral:ncRNA from 1 species
GCAGCUUCGCCACCGGGUGGAGCUGAUAAGCGUCAGGUUUUCCGUCGUUAGGUCUUAGAAGAGGGAAAACGCUGGCGCUUUUUUAG